AUUGAACGCUGGCGGCAUGCCUUACACAUGCAAGUCGAACGGUGACGCGGGGCAACCUGGCGACGAGUGGCGAACGGGUGAGUAAUGUAUCGGAACGUGCCCAGUUGUGGGGGAUAACUGCUCGAAAGAGCAGCUAAUACCGCAUACGACCUGAGGGUGAAAGCGGGGGAUCGCAAGACCUCGCGCAAUUGGAGCGGCCGAUAUCAGAUUAGGUAGUUGGUGAGGUAAAGGCUCACCAAGCCGACGAUCUGUAGCUGGGCUGAGAGGACGACCAGCCACACUGGGCCUAAGACACGGCCCAGCCUCCUACGGGAGGCAGCAGUGGGGAAUUUUGGACAAUGGACGCAAGUCUGAUCCAGCCAUGCCGCGUGCGGGAAGAAGGCCUUCGGGUUGUAAACCGCUUUUGUCAGGGAAGAAACGCUCUGGGUUAAUACCUCGGGGUAAUGACGGUACCUGAAGAAUAAGCACCGGCUAACUACGUGCCAGCCGCCGCCGUAAGAC
rnacentral:rRNA from 1 species